rnacentral:rRNA from 1 species
AGAGUUUGAUCAUGGCUCAGAUUGAACGCUGGCGGCAUGCCUAACACAUGCAAGUCGAACGGCAGCAUGACCUAGCUUGCUAGGUUGAUGGCGAGUGGCGGACGGGUGAGGAAUGCAUCGGAAUCUGCCCAGUCGUGGGGGAUAACGUAGGGAAACUUACGCUAAUACCGCAUACGACCGUAAGGUGAAAGCGGGGGAUCGAAAGACCUCGUGCGAUUGGAUGAGCCGAUGCCGGAUUAGCUUGUUGGUGGGGUAACGGCCCACCAAGGCGACGAUCCGUAGCUGGUCUGAGAGGACGACCAGCCACACGGGGACCGAGACACGGCCCCGACUCCUACGGGAGGCAGCAGUGAGGAAUCUUCCGCAAUGGGCGAAAGCCUGACGGAGCGACGCCGCGUGUGGGAUGAAGUCUUUCGGGAUGUAAACCACUGUCGGAGGGGAAGACAUCGACGGUACCCUCCAAGAAAGCCCCGGCUAACUACGUGCCAGCAGCCGCGGUAAUAC